GCAUGUACUACGUAUACAAGUGACAAAAAUACUCGGUUUGUCUCAAACAGACGUCCGUAUCAAAAUAAUGCAGCGGCGGUACGGUGGUACCACGAAACGCGACUACAUAACAAACCUGUCGCAUCAACUAUUUUGUCCGUUCUCAUCUUCAAAAUAACGCCCAGAAUUUUGUCCGCAGUCUGCAUGCCAUGCCAUGCCAUGCCUUCCAAAUCCGCAAUCUGUCAAGUGCCAACACGGACAGACCGAGACAGUGCCUUCGCUUUGUUUGCUCCUGCUUGGAUCUGCUGCUGACGCCUGACGUUUGUGGUGUACAUGUACUACUACAGAUUUGGAAGGCGCAUCAAGCCACAGCUACCAAAUUCUUCUGUUUUUUUGGCAACAACCCCGGUCAUCUUCCGAAUAGCUCAUCAGAUCUGAUCAGGGGUAAAAGUUGAUGAUGACUUGAUGAGCCACAUCCAAAUGUACAUAU
rnacentral:lncRNA from 1 species